ensembl:lncRNA
CGGGUUAUUCCGACCCACUCCGGGUUAUUCCGACCCACUCCGGGUUGUUCCGACCCACUCCGGGUUGGUCCCGGCGGCUUCGGAUGGUUCCGACCCACUUCGGGUUAUUCCGACCCACUUCGGGUUAUUCCGACCCACUUCGGGUUAUUCCGACCCACUUCGGCUGGUUCCGACCCACUUCGGGUUAUUCCGACCCACUCCGGCCGGUUCCGACCCCCCCCGGCUGGUCCCGGCGGCUUUAAUGGCGGCCCCUCCCACUCGGCAGCGCUGGUUCUAAUGGGGACGUACCGAGUCCCGACCCGACCCGACCGGUUCGGUCCCGUUGUGUCCCGACCCGUCCCGUCCCGUCGCCCAACCCGGGGUCACGCAGCGGAUGGGGCGGGUGGCAGCGCGGGGCUGACCCGGUUCCACCCCACGGAACCUCCCACUGUCACAACGCGAGUGGGGCCCUACGGGGACCGGGCCCUAUUGCCCCAUAACCGCCCCAUUGCCCCAUAACCGCCCUAUUGCCCCAUAACCGCCCUAUUGCCCCAUAGCUGCACUAUUGCCCCAUAACCGCCCUAUUGCCCCAUAGCCGCCCUAUUGCCCUAUCGCCCAUAAUCACCCCACAACCACACUGUCACCCCAUAACCACACUAUGGCCCCAUAACCACAGUCACCCCAUAACCACCCUAUGGCCCCAUAACCACAGUCACCCCAUAACCACACUAUGGCCCCAUAACCACACUGUCACCCCAUAACCGCGCUAUCACUCUAUCACCCAUCAUCACCCCAUAACCACAUUAUCACCCCAUAACCACACCAUGGCCCUAUAACCACCCUAUGGCCCCAUAACCACAGUCACCCCAUAACCACACUGUUGCCCUAUCGCCCCGUGCCCCAUAACCAAACUAUCUCUCUAUAACCACACUGUUGCCCCAUAGCCACCCUAUAACCACACUACUGCCCCAUAACCGCUAUAUCGCCCCAUACCCACCCCAUACCCAAAGAACCACCAAUACCCCAUUAUCACCCCACAUCCCAUAACCACAGUCACCCCAUAACCACAACACUAUCACCCCAUACCCACCCCAUACCCCACAACCCCUCCAUUACCCCAUUACCACCCCAUACCCCAUACCCACCUCAUACCCCAUUACCACCCCAUGACCGCACUAUCACCCCAUACCCCACAACCACCCCACAACCCCUCCAUUACCA